rnacentral:lncRNA from 1 species
CAGCCUCAGAAGUGAAGAGAUGUACCGACCGUUGUAGGGCAGUUGGGGACCUCUCCGCCAUUAUUGAUGAAUUUAUUUUUCUGUUCCCAAAAAUUCUUCAAUCUACAAUAUAAAUAAAUAUGACUGUCUUCCUCAUUUAGGCUAAGCUAUGAAUCUUAUGGUAAAAUAAUUAAUAAAGGUGCUAUAUUUUCCCUCAUCCAACCAUAUAUAAGAAAAAACUUGAAAUUCCUUGGGGUGUUGGUAUGUUUGAGUAUUCACUUCAAAUCCGCGAUUCUUCCAUGAUUACUAAAAAAAGG